rnacentral:rRNA from 1 species
UAAGAGGUCCCGCCUGCCCUGUGAUUUAUAUUUAACGGCCGCGGUAUUUUGACCGUGCAAAGGUAGCGCAAUCACUUGUCUUUUAAAUAAAGACCCGUAUGAAUGGCCCGACGAGGGCUUAACUGUCUCCUUUUUCAGGUCAAUGAGAUUGAUCUUCCCGUGCAGAAGCGGGAAUUAAAAUAUAAGACGAGAAGACCCUAUGGAGCUUCAGACACCAAGACAGAUCAUGUUAAUACCGCCAAAUAAAGCACUAAACUAAAUGGAACCUGACGGAAUGUUUUUGGUUGGGGCGACCGCGGGGAAAAACAAAACCCCCAUGAGGAAUAUAGGAGAUAAACUCUUAAAAUCAGAGCACCCGCUCUAAUAAGCAGAAUUUCUGACACUAAGAUCCGGCAAUGCCGAUCAACGAACCGAGUUACCCUAGGGAUAACAGCGCAAUCCCCUCCUAGAGUCCCUAUCGACGAGGGGGUUUACGACCUCGAUGUUGGAUCAGGACAUCCUAAUGGUGCAGCCGCUAUUAAGG